GACGAACGCUGGCGGCGUGCUUAACACAUGCAAGUCGAACGGUAAGGCCCUUCGGGGUACACGAGUGGCGAACGGGUGAGUAACACGUGGGUGAUCUGCCCUGCACUUCGGGAUAAGCCUGGGAAACUGGGUCUAAUACCGGAUAGGACCACUGCCUGCAUGGGUGGUGGUGGAAAGCUUUUGCGGUGUGGGAUGGGCCCGCGGCCUAUCAGCUUGUUGGUGGGGUGAUGGCCUACCAAGGCGACGACGGGUAGCCGGCCUGAGAGGGUGACCGGCCACACUGGGACUGAGAUACGGCCCAGACUCCUACGGGAGGCAGCAGUGGGGAAUAUUGCACAAUGGGCGCAAGCCUGAUGCAGCGACGCCGCGUGAGCGAUGACGGCCUUCGGGUUGUAAACCUCUUUCAGCACCGACGAAGCGCGGGUGACGGUAGGUGCAGAAGAAGGACCGGCCAACUACGUGCCAGCCGCCGCGGUAA
rnacentral:rRNA from 1 species